UGGUGGAGUGAUUUGUCUGGUUGAUUCCGAUAACGAACGAGAUCAUCGCACUUAAAUAGUUCGCUGUAUCGAAAGAUACAGACGCACUUCUUAAGAGGACUAUAAAAGUAUAUUUUAUGGAAGUUGAUGGCAAUAACA
rnacentral:rRNA from 1 species